CUGGCGCUGGCGCCGGAAGCGGCGUCGUCGCUGCUGCUGCCGGCGGUGCUGGGGCAUCAGCGGGCGUUCGAGCUGUUCGCCCUCGGC
rnacentral:tRNA from 1 species